rnacentral:lncRNA from 1 species
AUUUCAGCUAUCAGAACUGAUUUGCAAGGAUUACUUUUUCUGGUGGGCUCUCUUUCAGUCUCUGUUUUAGGCCCAGAAGGAAAAAAAAAUCACAGACCACAAUCAAUCUUAGACUUUUCCUUGGGGAUGAGCAAGAGGUCCCUGGAUCAAAGACAUGAGCAAGAGUUGAUGGCCCUAAAAUGGAAAACUUAGCUGAAAUGAAGAGAUUAUGAAUCUUUCCAAAGUAGGGUAGCCUGGGCAUAAAAUAGAAAUAAGGAACAGUACAAUUGACCACUAGUGGUGACUCAAAUAAAUUAUGAAGAACUGGGAGAGCUUAUCACUGCCAGCCUCCAUAGGAUGUUGGAAAUAUCUGGCACAUGGAAAAGGGAAACUGGCGGCUGAGGCUCCUGGGGAUCGUGACUGGUUCUGGACAUGA